rnacentral:rRNA from 1 species
ACAGCAGUAGCCGCGGUAAUACGUAGGUGGCAAGCGUUGCCCGGAAUUAUUGGGCGUAAAGGGCUCGCAGGCGGUUUCUUAAGUCUGAUGUGAAAGCCCCCGGCUCAACCGGGGAGGGUCAUUGGAAACUGGGAAACUUGAGUGCGGAAGAGGAGAGUGGAAUUCCACGUGUAGCGGUGAAAUGCGUAGAGAUGUGGAGGAACACCAGUGGCGAAGGCGACUCUCUGGUCUGUAACCGACGCUGAGGAGCGAAAGCGUGGGGAGCGAACAGGAUUAGAUACCCCCGUAGUCCCUGUCUCUUAUAC